AGCUCCCUCUCUCUCCCUCACUAGGCUCUCUCUCUCCUCCUCUCCCUCUCAAAUACGUCUCUCUCUCAGGAAACUAAGGGAAAAAUUUAGUUCUUUGUAUAAAUAAACUAGAGAACAAAGGAGUUUUGGAGGAUUUUCAAGAGUUUUCAUCACCAAAUGAAAGAUUGAGUUGUAAGAUCGGACGUUGAAGCUUCGAAGAUAGUCAAGACUAGGCCAACGAGAAGAUUAGGCCAACGAGAAGGAGCCGUAGAAUUAAUAUCCAAGAGAUAAGAUAUUCUUGACCAUAUCUUUGAUAGCCCUGUUUUAAAUGUUACUUAAAAUGAUGUUUUCUAGACAAAACAGGUUUGAUAAAAUAAAGCAAUUUUGAGGAAAUAACAUGAAUUAUGCUAUUGAACUUAUAUUACGUUGAAUUGAGGUUUAAAGGUUAUACUUUCUUAAAAUAAGAUAUUUUGAGAAAUAAUAAAAUGCAUGAUGGUCUAGAGAUUGGGAUAUAUAAAUCAUAUCUUUAGGGGCAGGUCUUGAAAACCCGUACAGGCCACUCCAUAGUGUGGGUGGUGAUAUCAAGGCUUUGUGAUAAUGUGUGUAAUCUAUCAUAUUCUUAUGAAUUGCCUAUUAGCAUAUGAAACUUGAAUUUAUGGAUUACUUUCCUUAUUAUUUAUACAGUUUUAUGGAGUUAUAUCCUACUGGGCCUUUCGCUCACUGUUUAUAUUGUUUUCAAUGUUUUAAACUCCUUCCCGCCGACGCUUGAAGCAGUGCCGAGUAGAUAGAGACUACCGGUAAUGCUAGCUCGAACUCAAGGAGUGAAGAAGUUUUACCCACUUCCAUCCUUACUAUAUGUUUCUAAGGCAUGUAUAAUUCUAUGGUUUGUAACCUUAAAACUAUGGUUGAUGUCAAUACCUUAUUUCUCCCCGUUUUGUUUAUGUAUGCUACAAUAUGAAUUUUCUGUGGGGAAUCCUGAUAUGAUGCCAAAAUUUUGAACCUA